CAGCAGCCACGGGAAUACGAAGGGUGCAAGCGUUACUCGGAAUUACUGGCGUAAAGCGUGCGUAGGUGGUGGUUUAAGUCCGUUGUGAAAGCCCUGGGCUCAACCUGGGAAUUGCAGUGGAUACUGGGUCACUAGAGUGUGGUAGAGGAUAGUGGAAUUUCCGGUGUAGCAGUGAAAUGCGUAGAGAUCGGAAGGAACAUCUGUGGCGAAGGCGACUAUCUGGGCCAACACUGACACUGAGGCACGAAAGCGUGGGGAGCAAACAGGAUUAGAUACCCCUGUAGUCCCUGUCUCUUAUACA
rnacentral:rRNA from 1 species